GAUGAACGCUGGCGGCGUGCCUAACACAUGCAAGUCGAACGGAGUCCAGCCUUUAAGACCUUCGGGUGAAAGAGGGGAAGAGUGAGUGGCGGACGGGUGAGUAACACGUGGGCAACCUGGCUCAUAAAAGGGGAUAACAGAGAGAAAUUUCUGCUAAUACCGCAUAAGCACAGCCUGCCGCAUGGUAGAGGGUGAAAAGAGUAUCGCUUUGGGAUGGACCCGCGUCUGAUUAGCCAGGUGGUAGGGUAAAAGCCUACCAAGGCGACGAUCCGUAGCCGGUCUGAGAGGAUGAACGGCCACAUUGGGACUGAGACACGGCCCAGACUCCUACGGGAGGCAGCAGUGGGGGAUAUUGCACAAUGGGGGGAAGCCUGAUGCAGCGACGCCGCGUGAGUGAAGAAGUACUUCGGUAUGUAAAGCUCUAUCAGCAGGGAAGAUAAUGACAGUACCUGAAUAAGAAGCCCCGGCUAACUCCGUG
rnacentral:rRNA from 1 species